GUGGGGAAUAUUGGACAAUGGGCGCAAGCCUGAUCCAGCCAUGCCGCGUGAGUGAUGAAGGCCCUAGGGUUGUAAAGCUCUUUCACCGGUGAAGAUAAUGACGGUAACCGGAGAAGAAGCCCCGGCUAACUUCGUGCCAGCAGCCGCGGUAAUACGAAGGGGGCUAGCGUUGUUCGGAAUUACUGGGCGUAAAGCGCACGUAGGCGGGUAUUUAAGUCAGGGGUGAAAUCCCGGAGCUCAACUCCGGAACUGCCUUUGAUACUGGGUACCUAGAGUAUGGAAGAGGUAAGUGGAAUUCCGAGUGUAGAGGUGAAAUUCGUAGAUAUUCGGAGGAACACCAGUGGCGAAGGCGGCUUACUGGUCCAUUACUGACGCUGAGGUGCGAAAGCGUGGGGAGCAAACAGGAUUAGAAACCCGGGUAGUCC
rnacentral:rRNA from 1 species